rnacentral:rRNA from 1 species
GACAGAGGGGGCAAGCGUUGCUCGGAAUUACUGGGCGUAAAGGGCGCGUAGGCGGGAUGGCAAGUCGGUCGUGAAAUCCCUCGGCUCAACCGAGGAACGUCGAUCGAUACUGCUGUUCUUGAGGAUUGCAGAGGAGACUGGAAUUCCCGGUGUAGCGGUGAAAUGUGUAGAGAUCAGGAGGAACACCGGUGGCGAAGGCGGAUCUCUGGGCCUUACCUGACGCUGGAGGCGCGAAAGCCUAGGGGAGCGAACAGG